CGUUCUGUAAGCCUGUGAAGGUGUGCUGUGAGGCAUGCUGGAGGUAUCAGAAGUGCGAAUGCUGACAUAAGUAACGAUAAAGCGGGUGAAAAGCCCGCUCGCCGGAAGACCAAGGGUUCCUGUCCAACGUUAAUCGGGGCAGGGUGAGUCGACCCCUAAGGCGAGGCCGAAAGGCGUAGUCGAUGGGAAACAGGUUAAUAUUCCUGUACUUGGUGUUACUGCGAAGGGGGGACGGAGAAGGCUAUGUUGGCCGGGCGACGGUUGUCCCGGUUUAAGCGUGUAGGCUGGUUUUCCAGGCAAAUCCGGAAAACUAAGGCUGAGGCGUGAUGACGAGGCACUACGGUGCUGAAGCAACAAAUGCCCUGCUUCCAGGAAAAGCCUCUAAGCAUCAGGUAACAUCAAAUCGUACCCCAAACCGACACAGGUGGUCAGGUAGAGAAUACCAAGGCGCUUGAGAGAACUCGGGUGAAGGAACUAGGCAAAAUGGUGCCGUAACUUCGGGAGAAGGCACGCUGAUAUGUAGGUGAAGUCCCUCGCGGAUGGAGCUGAAAUCAGUCGAAGAUACCAGCUGGCUGCAACUGUUUAUUAAAAACACAGCACUGUGCAAACACGAAAGUGGACGUAUACGGUGUGACGCCUGCCCGGUGCCGGAAGGUUAAUUGAUGGGGUCAGCGCAAGCGAAGCUCUUGAUCGAAGCCCCGGUAAACGGCGGCCGUAACUAUAACGGUCCUAAGGUAGCGAAAUUCCUUGUCGGGUAAGUUCCGACCUGCACGAAUGGCGUAAUGAUGGCCAGGCUGUCUCCACCCGAGACUCAGUGAAAUUGAACUCGCUGUGAAGAUGCAGUGUACCCGCGGCAAGACGGAAAGACCCCGUGAACCUUUACUAUAGCUUGACACUGAACAUUGAGCCUUGAUGUGUAGGAUAGGUGGGAGGCUUUGAAGUGUGGACGCCAGUCUGCAUGGAGCCGACCUUGAAAUACCACCCUUUAAUGUUUGAUGUUCUAACGUUGACCCGUAAUCCGGGUUGCGGACAGUGUCUGGUGGGUAGUUUGACUGGGGCGGUCUCCUCCUAAAGAGUAACGGAGGAGCACGAAGGUUGGCUAAUCCUGGUCGGACAUCAGGAGGUUAGUGCAAUGGCAUAAGCCAGCUUGACUGCGAGCGUGACGGCGCGAGCAGGUGCGAAAGCAGGUCAUAGUGAUCCGGUGGUUCUGAAUGGAAGGGCCAUCGCUCAACGGAUAAAAGGUACUCCGGGGAUAACAGGCUGAUACCGCCCAAGAGUUCAUAUCGACGGCGGUGUUUGGCACCUCGAUGUCGGCUCAUCACAUCCUGGGGCUGAAGUAGGUCCCAAGGGUAUGGCUGUUCGCCAUUUAAAGUGGUACGCGAGCUGGGUUUAGAACGUCGUGAGACAGUUCGGUCCCUAUCUGCCGUGGGCGCUGGAGAACUGAGGGGGGCUGCUCCUAGUACGAGAGGACCGGAGUGGACGCAUCACUGGUGUUCGGGUUGUCAUGCCAAUGGCACUGCCCGGUAGCUAAAUGCGGAAGAGAUAAGUGCUGAAAGCAUCUAAGCACGAAACUUGCCCCGAGAUGAGUUCUCCCUGACUCCUUGAGAGUCCUGAAGGAACGUUGAAG
rnacentral:rRNA from 1 species